rnacentral:lncRNA from 1 species
UGGCAGCCAGGAGCACUCUGUGGACUUGAGUCAGGAGAGGGAGAAAAAUUCAGCAUCUGAUUUCAGCAUCAGCUGUAUCAUCAAAACUUCUUUAGAAUCAUUAUUAUUACCAUCAUCACCAUUGUUAUCAUCAAGUUACUCAAAAACAGAAUACUGGGUCUACUCCAGAUUGAUCCCUGGCAAACCCCCAUAAAACCACAAACAUUGUCUCCUCUAUCGUUGCUUCAGUACAUAGUCAUGACAGGUUUCAUUUCAGUCUACUCACCAUGGAAUGAUGUUCCUCCAACCUCCAGCUCCACAUCACAGCCCACUCUCUCUGCCCACAGCUCUCUGAUGGACUGAAGACUGACCUUCAUAUGUUCUUCAGCAGAGAUCUUCUUCUCUUCUGCCCUCUUCUCUACUCCCUUCUUCAUUUUCUCCUCCUCUUCACUGCAGAGUUCUAGUACUCUGGGGGCCCCUAGUGUUGUAGCUGCAGUCUGUAUCUGGGCCAGUGUGUGUCUGUUCAGAGCUGCUAAGCCCCCAGUGUAGGCAAACUCCACUACCCCUGCCAGCCCCACAAGCCCCACUUCAGGACCCAGACUGAUGAAUAUCUCUGUCUUUAUGUCCAUGUCAACAUCUCUCCUCCCCCUCCUCUUCUCCAUCUCUUCAUCCCUCUCUUGCAGUCUCUGGUGAACAAGGGUACUCACAGCAGCCAGGACAGGGGAGUGUGCAUAAAGAUGCUGCCCAGCCUCAGUGCUCAGAGUCAGGUCAGUGAGGAGAGAGGAGUCCCUGAGCUGCUCCAGACCCUGGAAUACCUCUUUAGGAUAGGCAUCUUUUUGACGCCUGGGAGAGGAGUCUAUGUCUUCGGAUUCUCUGCUUUCAAUCAUGCCAGUGCACACACCACUGCUGUGAGUUUAUGUCAUAACGGGCAAACAAUAGUCUCUAUCCAUGACCAGAAGUCACGGACCACAGGUGACACUUCAUUCAACAGUGCCUCCAUUCUGAGGGAAGAGGGAGACCAGGUCUACAUGCGUCUGUGGGCAAACAUGAGGGUCUUUGAUGACCACCUCAUUUACAAUACCUUCAGUGGUCACCUCCUUUAUCUUAUGUAA